GGAGAUGUAUUGCUUUGACGGAGAUUGUACCUUAAAAAACUGCAAGCCGACUUUGAUCCAUUGAGUCGUGAAACAGGGUCAAAAACUAAAAUGCCAAUAAAAAAGGCUACUUUAAUUUAGCGACUAGUUUUCCCAAAUUCAAUUUUGGUCUAAACCAACCUGCUCUAGCUUUCGCUGGUGCAGCCUGCUAAACAAAAGCAUUGAUUAGUCCCCUAUUCUAGAGGAGGUUAAUUAGUGUCAAUUAAACUAGAAUGCUAGCUCUAAGAUCUCGAUUUUUUAGAGAAUUAAGAGAGGGGUAAUGCCCUCAAUAAUCGACACUUCAACACUUUUUGUAAAUUCUAGUUGUUGAAGAUGUAGGAUAGAAUUUAUCUAAGCUUGUAGAUGUUUUUUAUUGUCGUCUUUCGGACCCGGGCUCGAUACCUGGCAUCUCCUCCU
rnacentral:tmRNA from 1 species